rnacentral:lncRNA from 1 species
AGAGCACACAGGAGCAAAGAAAAUUAACUCAGGCCUCAGAAGGUGACUUGCAAGCAUUUCUGGCUGAGCAGGAUCUUGGCUGGAAGACAGAAAACUCUGCUUAUACCAUACCAGUAUGGUCUUAAAGCACCUCAGGGUGUUCUGGCUGCUGGUAUUUAAUGAGUGGCAGUGCAUGGACACUGCAAAAGGAAUACGAGAAGAUGUGUUACAAAGCAGUUAUUCCCUUAUAACACGCUUGUGAUCUGCCAUGUGGCUGGAGCAAGGCCCAGCAGUGACUGAGACCUCAUUCAGGUGAGGGUGAGCGACCUCGAGUGCGUAAAAGAGAGAAUGUGAAAUAUGUGAGCACAGCAAGAUAGCAGACAAUCUUGUGGUGAUUAUUAAUGGCCAUGUCCAGGUAAGUAGCAUGGUGAGUUAUUUACAAUAUCCCCUGUUGGUAGAGAGAGUACUGCAGUAAUGUUAAUGAGGGGGGACAAUAAAUAGUGAGGAAGCUAAUGGUGGUUGCUUUAACUGGAGACCAGACCAAAAUCCUCUCCAGGGCCAUUUAGUUGGCUCUCCUGACACUCUACUUGUGCAGAAAUUACCUCAGCUGUCAACUGCUUCUUCCAUUCCUGCUGUAAGUGACCGAGGUGAUGGUGGCGAUGUCACUCUAGUGGUCCAUGAUGUAAGGUGUGAGUAAGUUUCAGUCUCGGGAGACAAACGCACCUCCCAAACAGGCACGUCUCCUCAAACACCUUUUCAGGUGUCUGAACAGCCUUCUUCAAGAGGCUGUGCAACUGCAGAUUUUUCCAUGUUUUACCAAAGCGACAGGAAAAGCAGUGCUUUCCGACAGCAUUCCACAGCCAUUGCUUUGAUUUUGGAGAAUUCAUUUCAAAAAAAUGUCUAGCGAGCUGAAUAAAGCUGAAUUAGCAAAUCACAGAUACCCAGAAGGAACAGUGUCCUGUUUAUAAGGAAAGAGUGCGGUUACUGUGGUCAGACAGCCGGGCCACAGGCCAGGUCAUGCCUCCUAAGCAUAUUUUAUCUCGCCUCAUGUCACAGGCAGGAUGUGGGAGAUGUACGAGUUUCUCCUCUGAAAGGUAUCGGAGGAAAUCACCUCAGUGGCAUUCCCCAGGCAGUCGGGGUGGCCAAGGCAGGCUGCGACCAGGCCUGAAUGGACCCCUUCUUCUCGGCCAGGUGCUACUACUUAAGGGCUGCUUUCUGACUGUUCCAGUGGUGCAAUCAGACAAGCAACAGCACUGGCAGUGGGGAAGGGAAAAGUGUACGAGCCCGUCUAACUCCAGGCUGCAGCUGCUGUGUGAGAAGGAAUCCAGUUACGCAAACCUCAACAGAAGCCAUGCCUUGUUGCUGUGGGAGAAUGCUCUUGGUCAUUCCUCAUCCCGUUUUCCUAUGGGAUACUUGAAAACACAAGGGUCAAACUGA